rnacentral:lncRNA from 1 species
CUAAAAAUGGCGCCGGAGAAUAAGGCAGACGUUUUACUUGUUCCCAACCGAUUGUGUUUUUUGUUAGUUUAUUUGCGUUUUUUUGUAACUUAUUUUGUACAUAAUGUUGCCUCUACCGUCUCUUAUGACUGAAAAUAACUUCUGGACAUCAGGACUGUGAUUACCUACCACGGACUGGCAGAAUCCUUUGUUCCCUUUAACGAGUCUGACGAGCCCGAUGCGACAAAAAAUAUACUGCUUUCUCGGGAACAGGCCCAGAUCCCGGUGAUUUGCGUGAAGAGGAGGCGGAGAAAAAGGGGCCAAAGGGCGGGCUGCCUUCUGAGAAUUCGUAGGUGAUCGAAUAAAUUCUCACUUCCUUCCAUUCUGCUAGCAAACGUGCAAUCUUUGUAGAAUAAAAUAGAUAACCUACGCGCAAGAUUAAACUACCAACGGGACAUUCAAAACUGUAAUAUGUUAUGCUUCACGGAGUCGUGGCUGAACGACGACACUAUCAACAUACAGCUGGCUGGUUAUACGCUGUACCGGCAGGAUAGAACAGCGGCAUCUGUGACCAUACGUACAUACCCCAACCAGAAUCCAUGGAUUACAGGCAACAUCCGCACUGAGCUAAAGGCUAGAGCUGCCGCUUUCAAGGAGCGAGACUCUAACCUGGAAGCAUAUAUGAAAUUCCGCUAUGCCCUCUGACGAACCAUCAAACAGGCAAAGCAUCAAUACAGGACUAAGAUCAAAUUGUACUACACUGGCUUUGAUGCUCGUUGAAUAUGGGAGGGUUUGCAAAACAUUACAGACUACAAAGGGAAGCACAGCCGAGAGCUGCCCAGUGACACGAGCAUAACAGACGAGCUAUACUACUUCUAUGCUUGCUUCAAGGCAAAUGGCACUGAAACAUGCAUGAGAGCACCAGCUGUUCCAGAAGACUGUGUAACUGCACUCCACACUGCCCUUUCCCACCUGGAUGGAACACCUAUGUGAGAAUCCUAUUCAUUGACUACAGCUCAGCUUUCAACACCAUAGUGCCCUCAAAGCUAAGGACCCUGGGAUCAAUAAGCUAAGGACCCUGGGACUCAACACCUCCCUCUGCAACUGGAUCCUGGACUUCCUGACGGGCCGCCCACAGGUGGUAAGGGUAGGUAACAACACAUCCGCCACACUGAUCCUCAACACAGGGCCCCUCAGGGGUGCGUGCUCAGCCCCCUCCUGUAUUCCCUGUUCACUCAUGACUGCACGGCCAGGCACGACUCCAACACCAUCAUUAAGUUUGCCGAUGACACAACAGUGGUAGGCCUGAUCACUGACAACAACGAGACAGCCUCAGAGACCUGGCCGUGUGGUGCCAGGACAACAACCUCUCCCUCAACGUGAUCAAAACGAAGGAGAUGACUGUGGACUACAGGAAAAGGAGGACCGUGCAUGCCCCCAUUCUCAUUGACGGGGCUGCAGUGGAGCAGUUUGAGAGCUUCAAGUUCCUUGGUGUCCACAUCACCAAAAAACG